rnacentral:misc_RNA from 1 species
AAGUCGUAACAAGGUCUCCGUAGGUGAACCUGCGGAGGGAUCAUUAACACUUCUACUGAGAGAAGCAGACUGUAAAAAGUCAACUUCGCUCUAUCCACUCGUGAACUUAACUUAUGCCCCGGUCACUUACUAUUUUAUAGUAGUGGCUAACUAUUUUUAUUGUUAUUAAACCCUUUUCCAACCGCUAACAGCUAUAUACAAUUCAUAGUCAACUAACGUUUUCUAUGUAUUAUUAGUUAAAAACUAAAAGCACAACUCUUAGCAACGGAUAUCUCGGUUCUC